GUCAUAUAUAAAAUGGAUGAUAAUGUUUGCCAUUUCAUUCUGACCACAAAAUUCCUCUGGCACCUUCCCCUAUCCCGCGAAUACAUGGAUUUACAUCUGAUAUGAAUAAAGAAGCAUAUUUAUGCUUUUGUAUAUCAGCUGUUUGGUUGCUAAAAGGGGAAGAAAAUGAACUGCUGUAUAAAGAAAAAGGAUUAAGUCAACAUGUAAAAGAUAUAAAGUAUCUUUCCUAUGUGAACAGUCUGGUUGCAGAAAGGGACGGAAAAAGAUUUUUUAUACAUAGAAAAAUGGCUAAAAUCUAUAUUUGAAGAAAGAGCUGUUCCGUUAAAAUAUGAGAACAGACAUAGGAGGACUGGCCUAAGAACUGAAGAGGACUUAUAUGAGAACAGGGAAAUGACCUGGCCUGCAGGCACACCGUCUGAAUUCCACUUCCUUGUCACCAGAGAAUGGGACUCUACCCCAGGAGCUACCCUUUGUUUUGAUAGGCCAGCAUUGGCCUUGUAUUAUUUGGUUCCAAGACUUCACUGGCACUUGAAGACAUCUCUAGCCAUGCUACUUUGCUUAGCCAUUUGCCUCUUCCCCUUUAUGUGUUGUCUUCUCUCAUUAGAAUGUAAACUCUGAGAGCAGGGACUACCUUACUUCUGUUUGUAUCCUGAGCACUUAAUAACCAUCUAUCUAUCUAUCUAUCACAUAUCUUUAGCAUCAUCCAUAGUUUGAAAGAGGUAACUCCUCUCAAAAGUGCCUGGUAGUUCUCUGUUGUCUUCCUCUGGUUUGAGAGGAAAUAGCAGAGGAGAAAGACAAGCUCUGUGUCUUUGUUAGAAGAAGCUAGCAGUAUGAUGCAGCAUCCUGUUGACUGAAGAGUUGGCUAGGCUUGUUUGUAUUUCCCAGAGAACCAAUCUGAGAAGUUUUGUAGUUUUCUGGCUUAAAGGAAUCACAAACUCGAAACAGUACUUCAGGACGCUUUCAAGGGUGAUUAUGACUUAAAAGAACUUAUUACUAUUUCAUCACUUUGAGACCAGGAAACUUGAUUUGCCCAACAACAGAACACUAACAACCAGUCAGUGAACAGUUAAGCAGAGAAGCAAGUUUGUGUGGUUCAGAUUGUUAAAGAAGGGAACAAAGACAUCAAGACCAUCAGCAAAGGUGAUAGUUUCCCUGAACAAAUGAGUUGUCAUUAUUCAUGUUUCUCCCUUCUAGACACACAAACACACACAUACUCACACAUACCCACACACAUAUAUGUUCAUUCUUCUCAACAGCUACUGUUUCCACGAAGGGAGAGUGAGAGUCAGGUUUAUGUGAGGACUGUCAUGUAUUGAUUAUUCCUACAUUUACUUUCUAUUGUGUAGCUGUGACGUAUUUGAUUAUUUUUGCUUUUGCUUUAUUGCUUAAAUAAAUGUCCUGUAUUUCAAGAGUUAA